rnacentral:tRNA from 1 species
GCAGCUGUAGCUCAGGGACUAGAGCGUCGGUCUUGUAAGCCGAAUGUCGGAGGUUUAACCCCUCCUCGCUGCU